UACUGAGACACGGACCAGACUCCUACGGGAGGCAGCAGUAAGGAAUAUUGGUCAAUGGAGGCAACUCUGAACCAGCCAUGCCGCGUGCAGGAAGACAGCCCUCUGGGUCGUAAACUGCUUUUAUUCGGGAAUAAACCUACUUACGUGUAAGUAGCUGAAUGUACCGAAGGAAUAAGGAUCGGCUAACUCCGUGCCAGCAGCCGCGGUAAUACGGAGGAUCCAAGCGUUAUCCGGAUUUAUUGGGUUUAAAGGGUGCGUAGGCGGCUUAUUAAGUCAGGGGUGAAAGACGGUGGCUCAACCAUCGCAGUGCCCUUGAUACUGAUGAGCUUGAAUGCACUAGAGGUAGGCGGAAUGUGACAAGUAGCGGUGAAAUGCAUAGAUAUGUCACAGAACACCGAUUGCGAAGGCAGCUUACUAUGGUGUCAUUGACGCUGAGGCACGAAAGCGUGGGGAUCAAACAGGAUUAGAUACCCUGGUAGUCCACGCCCUAAACGAUGAAUACUCGCUGUUAGCGAUACACAG
rnacentral:rRNA from 1 species